GACGAACGCUGGCGGCGUGCUUAACACAUGCAAGUCGAACGAAGAGCGAUGGAAGCUUGCUUCUAUCAAUCUUAGUGGCGAACGGGUGAGUAACGCGUAAUCAACCUGCCCUUCAGAGGGGGACAACAGUUGGAAACGACUGCUAAUACCGCAUACGAUCUAAUCUCGGCAUCGAGGAUAGAUGAAAGGUGGCCUCUACAUGUAAGCUAUCACUGAAGGAGGGGAUUGCGUCUGAUUAGCUAGUUGGAGGGGUAACGGCCCACCAAGGCGAUGAUCAGUAGCCGGUCUGAGAGGAUGAACGGCCACAUUGGGACUGAGACACGGCCCAGACUCCUACGGGAGGCAGCAGUGGGGAAUCUUCCGCAAUGGACGAAAGUCUGACGGAGCAACGCCGCGUGAGUGAUGACGGCCUUCGGGUUGCAAAGCUCUGUUAAUCGGGACGAAAGGCCUUCUUGCGAAUAGGGAGAAGGAUUGACGGUACCGGAAUAGAAAGCCACGGCUAACUACGUG
rnacentral:rRNA from 1 species